CAGAAGGGGAAUCAACUCCCUAUCCAUAUGUUACAUAAGGUGAUGUUCCAUGACAUCCAUCCUGACUCAGACACCUUUUAGCCAAACUGCAGUAACACUGUUCUGCUUGCACAUCCAUCUGGUCCAGUACUACCAGUGGCAGCCAGAAAACAGGACAGUAACAUGAGUUAGCUGCAAAGGUUGCUAAAUAUAAAGAGAACAGUCAGCGCAGGUAUUUUUACCCUUUUAGAGUUCAACACCACUCACAUUGCCAUAAUAUCAGGAGCUGCGUGGUUAUAAUGAAGCAUGUAAAGUGUUCUUUCCGAAAUAAGGUUUAAUGGCAUAUGCAUCACGCCAAGUUGAAUGGAGUGUUUGGCUGUACUCUGAGCAGCUCCCUGUCUGUUAAAGAUAGAUCAGCAAGCAAGAUGAGGAGAGAAAAUAGCAUGGGAAACAGGGGAAGAAGGCGAAAAGCCUUUUUGUCCCCGUCACCCUAUUAAUUUGAGGAGAACGAGGAAAUGCCAGCAGGAUUAAAUGCAUUACUCCGACGGCUUUUUCCCCACUUCUUUUUUUUUUUUUUUUUUUUUUUUUUACAAGUUCAAAUUAAAGGAUGGGGUGGAAGGAGGGGUGGGGUGGGCAUGGAGGAGGGUGGAGUAAGAGAAGAAAGGUGUUAAUUGCUUGCCAAUCGAUAAUUCUAUAAUUACUUUGUGACAAAUGGCUGGUUGGCGGUGCUAGGGUAGGUUCAAAGGAGGGUGGGGAGAAGGGUGGUCAGUGGGUGUGGAUGUUAAAAGGGAUCGGCCAUGAUCAGGAACGGAAAUAUUUGCUUUUGUGCCUGCAAGCCCGGCUGCCCCAGGGAUUUGUGACAGAGAAUUUAUGCCAGGUUUAAGCGCGGAGCUGAAUCCACCUGGGGCGGACGUCUUAGUGGGGGGAGUGCAUGUACACACAUGCAUGUACUGACACUCAGGCUACGAGUCUCGGCACAGUUUACCUGAUAUUUCUCCUCAGGCUGAGUGAGUCUACACGAGACAAUGGCCAAGGAGAGUAUAAAAGCAUAUUAAAGACAGGCUGGCAGAUUAUCAUUUUUGCACCAUUAAACUGUCACGCCGAUUCAAGAGGAGAGAGGGCUGUAAAAGGAAACCUGGAGAGAGGGGUUUGAAUUUGGCUAGAAGACUUUGAGUCUUCUAAUGCCUGUCACAGUUCACUAUUUUCCAAUCACAGUUUCAUUAUGCCAGCCAGGC
ensembl:lncRNA